rnacentral:lncRNA from 1 species
UGUAUGGGGGACUCAAACCUCCUAGCAUAGUCAAGAUGACUUAAGCACUAAUGUAUACAAUAUGGGGACUAAAGCCUCCCUUUCAUAUAUCCAUUUGGAGGACUCAAACCUCCCGGUCAUGUAGACACGCGUACCGGCUAGUGCAGUUUUUAGUGUUAAUCCUUCAAACUUCACUUUCACGGCCCGACUACACAUCCCACUUUAAAUUCUAAUUUAAACAUUCAAUAAGC